UAAGUUAAACAGGUCUUUAUUGAGUGUCAUAGUUCAAGAGGCAAAUCUGGACACACUGGUAUCAAACAGUGAUCUUGAAACAGGAUCACUGAUGAAUUGGUGAUGAGUCCUAGUUAAUGUGAUUUAUGUCUACUUGCUUUGCAAGUAGCUCUCAGGCAUGCAACCUGUGAAACAGCUGAUGUUUACAUACAGGGAUCCAAGGGAUAUAAGAAUUAGAGCAGAAAGAGACUCACACAGAGCCAUCAGGACAGAGGAGCCUAGGAGCAACCUGGGACAGGAUUCUUCGAGUUUCCAUCUGUACCAGAAGCUGAUCCUGUGUCACAGCGCUCCAUACCAAAAUACCGCUGGGAGAGAGCUGGUCUCCCAGGAGUGCUGACAAAUCAGUGAGCACAGGUAGGACCACCACUUCUACUCAAAUUCCUGGACCAAGAGGGACGAGCCCAAAGCCAUCAAGAUACAGGAACUAAGGAACAGCCAAGGAAAGGAUCCUUCUGGUUUCCGUCUGCACCCAGAAUUGACCCUGUGCCACAGCUUUCCAGACCCAAAUUCCUCUAGGAGAGAACUGGUCUCCCAGGAAUGCUGACACACAGGUUUAUAGGAGAGACAAGUCACAGUUAGAGACAGCAAGAUGAGCUAAGACCAGAGAUAAACAGAUGGCGAGAGGUGAGAGCAAGAACAUAAGUAAUAGAAAACAAGACUACUUAGCAUUAUCAGAAUCCAGUUCUACCUUCAGAAUUCAGUUCUAUCGAACCCUGGAUAGCCCGACACACCAGAAAAUCAAGACUCUGAUUUAAAAUCAUAUGUCAUGAUGAUGAUAGAGGACUUUAAGAAGGACAUAAAUAACUCCCUUAAAGAAAUACAGGGGAGCACAGGUUAACAGCUAGAAACCCUUAAAGAGGUAACACAAAAAUCCCUUAAAGAAUUACAGAAAAACACAACAAAUCAGGUGAAGGAAUUGAACAAAAUCAUCCAGGAUUGUGGGGCUCUGGGCUAUGUACAGACAGCCUGGUUUCCAGUUGAGGCUAGAUGUUGAAUCCCGGGACCCAGUGGUGAUAAUUCACUUACAUGGGAUGGAAGGAGUUCUCUCAUGUCUCCUGGAACCCUGGCUCCUGUCAAAGUUACUGCCCCCUCAGCUCCCACAAGAGAAGCAUGGUUAGUAGUCACAUAGGCAAUGUCCCAAGCUUCUGACUUUCAGGCUAGCUAGCAACAGUAAAGAUAACAGCACACCAUAAGAGGGGCUGUUUGGCCCCUCCUUACUCUCUUGCUCUUACUCCCCUUACUCUCUCCUUGCUCUCUCCUCACCCUUUCCCUCUUGCUCUCUCCCUCUUACUCUAGCCUUUCUUCUCUCUCUCCUUUUCCCCCUUUCUCUCCUCUCGGACAUGGCCAGUCUCUUUCUCUUUCUACCUUUUCUCUUUCUCCCUGCCUUUCUACAAUAAAGCUCUAAAACCAUAGACUGUCUCUGUUCAUCAAGGCCCACUGUGUUUACUCUCGCCUCUCUCCAAUAACCCCAGGGCAACCCGGUGUCGCCCUGGGGUCCCCGGUUGGGGGCUGCCCCUUGUCCGCCCUCCCCCCACCAUUGAGUGGGGUCAGUGGCUUAGAUGCCCACCCAGGGCCGAGUGGACAGUGCCCAGUACCCCUCCCGUAUCCGCCUGCCUGGAGCAUAAGAGGAACUCUGGCUGGGCGCAGGUUAUCUGCCCUUCCCCCUCCUUCCCCUACACCCCUUUUAGUGCUCACACAGGAUCUAAAAAUUGAAAUAGAAAAAACAAAGAAAUCACAAAGGGAGACAAUCUUGGAGAUAGAAAACCCAGGAGAGAGAUCAGGAGUCACAGAUGCAAGCAUCACCAACAGAAUACAAGAGAUAAAAGAGAGAAUCUCAGGUGCAGAAGAUACCAUAGAAAACAUUGGCACAACAGUCAAAGAAAAUGCGAAAUGCAAAAAGAUCCUAACCCAAAACAUCCAGGAAAUCCAGGACACAAUAAGACCAAAUCAAGGAUAAUAGGUUUAGAAGAGAGUGAAGAUUCUCAACUUAAAGGGUCAGUAAAUAUCUUCAACAAAAUUAUAGAAGAAAACUUUCCUAACCUAAACAAAGAGAUGCCCAUGAACAUACAAGAAGCUUACAAGCCUCCAAAUAGACUGGACCAGAAAAAAAAUUCCUCCCGUCACAUAAUAGUCAAAACAUCAAAUGCACAAAACAAAGAAAAAGAAUAUUAAAAGCAACAAGGAGAAAAGGUCAAGUAACAUAUAAAGGCUGACCUAUCAGAAUUAUACCUGACUUCUCACAAGAGGCUAUGAAAGCUGGAAGACCCUGGACAGAUGUCAUUCAGACCCUAAGAGAACACAAAUGCCAGCCCAGGCUACUAUACCCAACAAACCUCUCAAUUACCAUAGAUGGAGAAACCAAGAUAUUACAUGACAAAACCAAAUUUAAACAGUAUCAUUCCACAAAUCCAGCCCUAUAAAGAAUAAUAAUAGAUGGAAAACUCCCAACACAAGGAGGAAUACUACACCCUAAAAAAAGCAAGAAAGUAAUCUUCAUUCAACAAACCCAAAAGAAGAUACACACACACAUAAAAAUAACAGGAAGCAACAAUCACUAUUCCCUAAUAUCUCUUAACACCAAUGGACCCAAUUCCCCAAUAAAAAGACAUAGACUAACAGACUGGUUGCGUAAACGGGACCCAACAUUUUACUAUAUACAGGAAACACACCUGAGUGUCAAAGACAAACACUACCUUAGAGUAAAGGGAUGGAAAACAAUUUUCCAAACAAAUGAAGUGAAAAGCCUGGAAGGUAUACAAGUAUCCAGUAAUAAUAAACUCGUAUUCAAACAGAAUUAGAAACAUAGCAUUACAACUGAAACGAAAUUCAAUUCUGUGUCUUCAUUUGCAAACCUGUCAACACUGAAAAGAAUCAUCCCAGUUUCCUGUUACUAGUCAAUAUAUUACGAAGUUCUUUUGUAAAUCAUUCUGCUGGCAAAUAACAAAAUUGCAUUGAAAACCUUUAUUAGUCCUCCUUUCUUCCCUGUCUCCCCUAUAGUAAUGGAACAUGAGGGGAAUUCGCAGUUAGAGGCAUUAGUGUUUAAUAGAGCUGGAUUUUUCAUCAACAGUGCUUUCUUCUGUCAAAUUUUGUAUUAUUAAGUGCAUCGGGUAAAUAGUCACAUGCUUUGAACUCUCUAUAUACAUAUCAACACAAGAGUUAAUGGCAGUUCAGAAUCUCAUUCCCACUGGUCAGAAUUCUUUAAAAUACUGUCUCUUUUUUAAAAAUCAUAACUGCACACUGUAGGUGAGGACUGGUCUCAAUAAAAUUUUGAAGUUAAAAGGUACAGCAAAGAAGGCUUAACUGUGGGAAGCCAUAUAUGCCAUUACAAGGUGGCGC
ensembl:antisense Gm28370 predicted gene 28370